ACUAGGUUAUGCAAGUUGGCAAGUGAGAGCAAGGCAUAGAAGGCAUAUAGAAGGGCCCGUAAUGCAUCGGGCAACAAUACUGAUGCCAAUGAAGCCAAGGAGAGGGAACCAAAAAACAUCAUGGCAGUGCGGAGGAGAGCAACACAAGUAGGAGAGAGAUGAGAAGAAUGAAAGGUUAACUCAGUUCCGAAUGUCAAAACAAACGCCAGUAAGCUAGCAAAGAACAUCAUGGUGCUUAU
rnacentral:lncRNA from 1 species